ACGACCCCAGGUCAGGCGGGGCCACCCGCUGAGUUUA
rnacentral:rRNA from 1 species